CUUCGCCGUAGGAUCUUCGCCGGCAAUGCCAAGGACCUUUCCACUGUACAGAGACGAUUGUUCCUGUUCUCACAGCAUUCAACUUUUCAUCGCGUAAACUUCAUGUCUCCCUUCCCAGUCAAUGGGAAACGAUCGCUUUAGAUGCUAGCGAUUACGUCAGCCAGAUAAUCGUCCCUCUCAAGGGAGAACCGAUAGAAACCAAGUUGGUCACCUGUCGUACGUGCCGAAUGUGAAAGCCCCAAUCCGUGUAAACGUCGUAUUCCUACCCCGGUCGUCGUUCGUCGUUCAUCGUCGUCGUCGUCGUCGGGUCUCGUCGGAGCCUCGAGGCGACAUGCACGCGGUCGAGCGUCCUUGAAGAUGCGCCGCGAACGAAGAGGACGCCUGAAGACGCCUCCGGCUACCGCAUCUCUAGGCGUCUCUUCUGAUCACCUUCCCUUCCCUUCACUUCUUUUCCACCGUCCUGUGACCAAAUUCUCUGUCCUGCUUCGGACACCUUGCGCGCGGGAGACCUGAACGCGUCUUUCGAGACCCGCACCGCUGUAAUCGGAGACUCAGGAUUAUGCAAGGACCUGCGAGA